AAACCGCCCUUGUUAAUAAGUUAUUCCCCAUCCAUGAUCCAUGAUCGGCCACUACUCCUAUUUUCUCGGGCCACCUUCAGCCGAUCGGAACCGCUUGUAACUGUUCGCGGUUACUGUAACUCUCCUUGAUUCACGCGGGUUCACUUUUCGAUGCUCCCGGUGCAGAGCAGAAAUGCCUUUCCUUUAAGGGCCCGUUUGGUUCGAGUUAUGUAAUAUUACAAAGUAUCUCGACAUAUCCAGGUAUCUUGGAUUUCGGCGUGAGAUUACUACUGAUGCUGCAUUAGCACGUUUGGUUUAAUUCAGUAAUGUAAUACUAGAUUACAGUGUUUAUAACAUUAAUACGUUUGGUUCAGUUUAUAAAAUUUAGUAAUCCUGACAUAAAAGUAUAAUUUUUUCCAAAAUUGUCCUUGCCAGAUAGAUGAAAAUAAUGCUGUUAAUUAGAUUUGGGGUUGUUUGAGGGUAAAAUUGUCAUUUUACAUAAUACGUAGUAUUAACGGGUUUCAGUAAUGCAAGAUACACGACCCCCCUCCCGUUAAUAUUUUUGAUGUAAUCCUGCUCGAUUUGUAAUGCUACAUUAACGACUAGAUUAUAUAGCGGAUUAACCAAACACAGUUAUCCUGGCAGGAUUACUUGUAAUCCUGCCAGGAUAACUCGAACCAAACGCACCCUAAAUAGAACCGCUGUGGUGUACCGGGUACCACGUGUCCGCGCCUUAUCGGCCCAACAGUCCGUUUCUUAAAUAUUUUCUUUCUCACAAGUAAUAUCUGCCACUUAGAUAAUAUCCAAUCACAUAAUAUCUUCCGCAUAUAUAAUAUUUAAUCAUAUUUUUUUUAAAAUGUGAAUAUAUAAAAAUUAUCUCAAUUUUAUCUACUAAUAUUUAAAAUAUGAGAUAUUUUUCAAUA
rnacentral:lncRNA from 1 species